rnacentral:rRNA from 1 species
UACGUAGGGUGCAAGCGUUAAUCGGAAUUACUGGGCGUAAAGCGUGCGCAGGCGGUUCGCUAAGACCGAUGUGAAAUCCCCGGGCUUAACCUGGGAACUGCAUUGGUGACUGGCAGGCUUUGAGUAUGGCAGAGGGGGGUAGAAUUCCACGUGUAGCAGUGAAAUGCGUAGAGAUGUGGAGGAAUACCGAUGGCGAAGGCAGCCCCCUGGGCCAAUACUGACGCUCAUGCACGAAAGCGUGGGGAGCAAACAGG